ACACAUGUCAAAUGCUAAAGUGAUGAUGUGUCUAUCAUAUGAAGAGAGUUGGCCAACUUUCAUAUAUAUAAUUUAC
rnacentral:sRNA from 1 species